rnacentral:rRNA from 1 species
CAUUCGGGUGCUCCGUUUCUUACUUCGCUCGUGGAAGAAAAUAGCAUAUCAAUAAGCGGAGGAAAAGAAACCAACAGGGAUUGCCCUAGUAACGGCGAGUGAAGCGGCAACAGCUCAAAUUUGAAAUCUGGCUCUUUCAGAGUCCGAGUUGUAAUUUGCAGAGGGCGCUUUGGCUUUGGCAGCGGUCCAAGUUCCUUGGAACAGGACGUCACAGAGGGUGAGAAUCCCGUACGUGGUCGCUAGCUAUUGCCGUGUAAAGCCCCUUCGACGAGUCGAGUUGUUUGGGAAUGCAGCUCUAAAUGGGAGGUAAAUUUCUUCUAAAGCUAAAUAUUGGCCAGAGACCGAUAGCGCACAAGUAGAGUGAUCGAAAGAUGAAAAGCACUUUGGAAAGAGAGUCAAACAGCACGUGAAAUUGUUGAAAGGGAAGCGCUUGCAGCCAGACUUGCUUGCAGUUGCUCAUCCGGGCUUUUGCCCGGUGCACUCUUCUGUAGGCAGGCCAGCAUCAGUUUGGGCGGUGGGAUAAAGGUCUCUGACACGUUCCUCCUUUCGGGGAGGCCAUAUAGGGGAGGCGACAUACCACCAGCCUGGACUGAGGUCCGCGCAUCUGCUAGGAUGCUGGCGUAAUGGCUGUAAGCGGCCCGUCUUGAAACACGGACCAAGGAGUCUAACAUCUAUGCGAGUGUUUGGGUGUCAAGCCCGAGCGCGUAAUGAAAGUGAACGGAGGUGGGAACCCGCAAGGGCGCACCAUCGACCGAUCCUGAAGUUUACGGAAGGAUUUGAGUAAGAGCAUGGCUGUUGGGACCCGAAAGAUGGUGAACUAUGCUUGAAUAGGGUGAAGCCAGAGGAAACUCUGGUGGAGGCUCGCAGCGGUUCUGACGUGCAAAUCGAUCGUCAAAUUUGGGCAUAGGGGCGAAAGACUAAUCGAACCUCCUUGCCCCC